AUGCCGAUCUUGAGAAGAUUUCAAAGUCGGGUGAAAUUUUUUAAAGCAUCAGAAUAUAUGCAACCUAAAGCAGAAGUUCAGAAUCUGAAGCAUAUGAGAACUAGUCACCUUGUGGAGCCUAAUCUUGUGGGAAAGCACACUUUACAUGCUUGCAAAAGAUUGGUUGAACGGAUUCUUACACAUAAGGAAGAGAAGGCAUACAAGGUUGGUAUUGUUGGAACAGGAGGGGUUGGGAAGACAACUCUAGCUCAAAAAAUAUAUAAUGCUGAAAACUUAAAAGGAGCCUUUAGCAACCAAGCAUGGAUUUGUGUUUCUCGGGAUUACUCAGAUAUCACUCUUUUGAAAGAACUUCUUCGAAAUUUUGGGGUACAUCAUGAGCACUGCGAAACUUUGGGAGAGCUCAGCAGCAAGCUUGCAGCAGUCGUUUGGGGGAAAAGUUUCUUCCGUGUGCUAGAUGAUGUUUGGGAGCCUGAGGUGUGGACCAAUGUACUUAGAACUCCUUUACAUGCUGCUGCAGCUGGUGUAAUUCUUGUAACCACUCGACAUGAUGCAGUUGCACAUGCAACUGGGGUGGAGGAUCCACAUCAAGUUGAUUCAAUGUCGGCAGAGGUAGGAUGGGAGCUGCUUUGGAAGAGUAUGAACAUCAGUGAUGAAAGAGAUGUGGAGGACCUUCGGAAUAUAGGACUGGAUAUUAUUCGUAAGUGUGGUGGACUUCCUCUUGCAAUCAAGGUUACUGCUCGUGUUCUAGCAACUAAAGAUAAAACUGACAAUGCGUGGAGGAAAUUUAUCAAUAGAAGCGCUUGGUCUGUGGGCAAUCUUCCUACUGAGCUCAGAGGUGCUUUGUAUUUGAGUUAUGAUGACCUGCCACAUCAUCUGAAGCAGUGUUUCCUUUAUUGUGCAUUGUAUCCUGAAGAUUCAACCAUGAGCCGUGAUGAUCUUGUCAUGUUAUGGGUUGCUGAAGGAUUUAUAGAGGAGCAGCAUGGUCAACUACUAGAAGAAACAGCAGAAGAGUACUACUAUGAGCUAAUCCAUCGGAAUCUCCUCCAACCAGAUGGUAUAUAUUUUGACCACAUGAGAUGCCAAAUGCAUGACCUCUUAAGGCAGCUUGCUUGUUAUUUAUCAAGAGAAGAAUGCUUUAUUGGAGACCCUGAAUCUUUAGGGCCUACCAAUAUGUCAAAAAUGCGACGCCUUACUGUUGUGACUAAGAAGGGUAUAUUAGUGUUACCUAGCAUGGCUAAUGGGGAAGCUAGGGCGAGGACCUUCCAAACUGAUCAGCAGCCACGGAGAGUUGAGGAUACAUUUUUCAUGAGAUUUCCGUACCUCAGAAUUUUGGAACUGAGUGACUCGCUUCUGCAGAGCAUCCCAGAUUAUAUUGGAAAACUGAUACAUCUACGUCUACUUGAUCUUGAUGGUACCUGCAUAUCUUGUCUUCCGGAGUCCAUCAGCUCUCUUAUAAACCUUCAGAUACUGAACUUGCAAAGGUGUCAAGAUCUGCACGGCCUUCCAUUAGCAAUCACUAGAUUGUCCAAUUUAAGGCGCCUUGGUCUUGCUGGUACACCAAUCAAUCAGGUUCCAGAAGGGAUAGGUAGACUGAAAUAUCUCAAUGAUCUAGGAGGAUUUCCUGUCGGUGGUGUAAGUGAUGAUGCUAAAACUCAGGAUGGUUGGAAGCUGGAAGAGUUGGAACAUCUGUCACAUCUAAGGCGGCUUGACCUGAUCAAAUUGGAAAGAGCAGCUCUUCAUACCACAGGUUCAGUUCUAGCAGACAAAAGGUAUCUCCAUGUUCUGAAUCUAUCAUGCACCGAUCGCACAGAUGUACCAUAUUCAGAAGAAGAUGUUAGCAAUACUGAGAAGAUCCUUGAGCAGUUAGUCCCUCCACAAAACCUGGAAGAUCUUCUUAUUAAUGGAUUCUUUGGUCGUAGGUAUCCAACCUGGCUUGGCACUACCCAUUUGUCUUCACUGAAACACUUGAAACUCGUAGAUUGCAAAAUCUGUGUGUAUCUUCCACCAAUUGGGCAGCUAGCCAACCUGAAAUAUCUGAAAAUUGAUGGAGCAACCAAAAUUACCAAGAUCGGACCUGAAUUUGUGGGUUGCAGGGGGGCUAGGGCUAAUCCGAGGUCCAUGGUGUCAGUUGCUUUCCCCAAGCUCGAAGUGCUUGUCAUCAGGGAUUUGCACAACUGGGAGGAUUGGUCCUUUAUUGAAGAUGCAGCAGGAGCAGCAGCCACAGAAGGGGGUGGGGAUAUAGAUGCCGAGAUGUGA
rnacentral:rRNA from 1 species